rnacentral:rRNA from 1 species
GAUGAACGCUGGCGGCGUGCCUAAUACAUGCAAGUCGAGCGAACAGACGAGGAGCUUGCUCCUCUGACGUUAGCGGCGGACGGGUGAGUAACACGUGGAUAACCUACCUAUAAGACUGGGAUAACUUCGGGAAACCGGAGCUAAUACCGGAUAAUAUAUUGAACCGCAUGGUUCAAUAGUGAAAGACGGUUUUGCUGUCACUUAUAGAUGGAUCCGCGCCGCAUUAGCUAGUUGGUAAGGUAACGGCUUACCAAGGCAACGAUGCGUAGCCGACCUGAGAGGGUGAUCGGCCACACUGGAACUGAGACACAGUCCAGACUCCUACGGGAGGCAGCGUUAGGGAAUCUUCCGCAAUGGGCGAAAGCCUGACGGAGCAACGCCGCGUGAGUGAUGAAGGUCUUCGGAUCGUAAAACUCUGUUAUUAGGGAAGAACAAAUGUGUAAGUAACUAUGCACGUCUUGACGGUACCUAAUCAGAAAGCCACGGCUAACUACGUG